rnacentral:misc_RNA from 1 species
UCUCCGUUGGUGAACCAGCGGAGGGAUCAUUACAGGACUCGCACGACUCUUACACCCUGUGAACCUCACUACAAGCACGUUGCUUCGGCGGGUGUCCCGGCGGGGGUUUUCCCUCGCCGGGGCGCACAGCCCGCCGGCAGCCUACUAUACUCUGUCUCUUUGCGUUGGCAUCUCGAGAAAAAACAAACAAGUUAAAACUUUCAACAACGGAUCUCUUGGUUCUG